AACGAGAUUUAAGAAGCUUGCUUCUUAAUGAAAGUGGCGCACGGGUGAGUAACGCGUGGAUAACAUACCUAUUGGUUCAGGAUAACUUGUCGAAAGACGGGCUAAUACUGGAUAAGUUCCUCUGGGCUGCGGCCCGGAUGAAGAAAGCAGGGCAACUUGCGCCGAAUGAAUGGUCCGCGUCCCAUCAGCUUGUUGGCGGGGUAAUGGCCCACCAAGGCGACGACGGGUAACUGGUCUGAGAGGACGACCAGUCACACUGGGACUGAGACACGGCCCAGACUCCUACGGGAGGCAGCAGUGGGGAAUAUUGGACAAUGGGGGAAACCCUGAUCCAGCAGUGCCGCGUGAGGGAUGAAGGCCUUAGGGUUGUAAAGCUCUUUCGGUGGUGACGAUGAUGACGGUAACCACAGAAGAAGCCCCGGCUAACUUCGUGCCAGCCGCCGCCGCGG
rnacentral:rRNA from 1 species